rnacentral:rRNA from 1 species
AUUGAACGCUGGCGGCAGGCUUAACGCAUGCAAGUCGAGCGGGGUGAUGGUGCUUGCACUAUCACUUAGCGGCGGACGGGUGAGUAAUGCUUAGGAAUCUGCCUAUUAGUGGGGGACAACAUCUCGAAAGGGAUGCUAAUACCGCAUACGUCCUACGGGAGAAAGCAGGGGAUCACUUGUGACCUUGCGCUAAUAGAUGGGCCUAAGUCGGAUUAGCUAGUUGGUGGGGUAAAGGCCUACCAAGGCGACGAUCUGUAGCGGGUCUGAGAGGAUGAUCCGCCACACUGGGACUGAGACACGGCCCAGACUCCUACGGGAGGCAGCAGUGGGGAAUAUUGGACAAUGGGGGGAACCCUGAUCCAGCCAUGCCGCGUGUGUGAAGAAGGCCUUAUGGUUGUAAAGCACUUUAAGCGAGGAGGAGGCUCUUUUGGUUAAUACCCAAGAUGAGUGGACGUUACUCGCAGAAUAAGCACCGGCUAACUCUGUGCCAGCCGCCGCGGUAA